UUUCGCAAUGCCCGAAAGGGUGACGAAGCGACGCCGCGUGUGGGAAGAAGGCCUUCGGGUUGUAAACCACUGUCAGGAGUUAAGAAAUACAAGGAUAUUAAUAGUGUCUUUGCUUGACCAAGGCUCCGGAGGAAGCCACGGCUAACUCUGUGCCAGCAGCCGCGGUAAUACAGAGGCGGCAAGCGUUGUUCGGAAUUAUUGGGCGUAAAGAGCACGUAGGCGGCUAUGUAAGUCGGUUGUGAAAGCCUUCCGCUCAACGGAAGAACAGCAUCCGAUACUACAUGGCUUGAGUGCGGGAGGGGAGAGUGGAACUUCUGGUGGAGCGGUGAAAUGCGUAGAUAUCAGAAGGAACGCCGGCGGCGAAAGCGGCUCUCUGGCCCAUAACUGACGCUGAGUGUGCGAAAGCUAGGGGAGCAAACGGGAUUAGAUACCCCGGUAGUCCUAGCCGUAAACGAUGGGCACUAAGUAGAGGGGUUUU
rnacentral:rRNA from 1 species